rnacentral:rRNA from 1 species
AACGAACGCUGGCGGCAGGCCUAAUACAUGCAAGUCGAACGCACCGCAAGGUGAGUGGCAGACGGGUGAUAACGCGUGGGAACCUUCCUAGUAGUACGGAAUAACUCCGGGAAACCGGUGCUAAUACCGUAUAAGCCCUCCGGGGGAAAGAUUUAUCGCUACUAGAUGGGCCCGCGUCGGAUUAGCUUGUUGGUGAGGUAAUGGCUCACCAAGGCUUCGAUCCGUAGCUGGUCUGAGAGGANGAUCAGCCACACUGGGACUGAGACACGGCCCAGACUCCUACGGGAGGCAGCAGUAGGGAAUAUUGGACAAUGGGCGAAAGCCUGAUCCAGCCAUGCCGCGUGAGUGAAGAA